rnacentral:lncRNA from 1 species
UUUUUUUUUUUUUUUUGAGAGAUAGGUAGCACGCUAUCUGCUUCAUUUAUUUUAUUUAGAAAUAAACUUAGCUGAAAAUAUGAAUCAAUUAGGAUUCGAACUUGAGUCUCGAGUAUCAUCCACUAAAUCCUUUGCCACUUGCUCUAGGGCUGUUUAGUUAGAUACAGAUAGUAUAUAUAUCGUAUAUAAAUUUAAAUAUGCUAUUUAAUUUACUGUAUUUAAAAUUUAACUAUUGCAGUUAAAAUUAUAUAAGGAGAGUUUUGGAACUACAUCCAAAUUAAUCAUAAUUUAAACUGCAAUAAUUAAAAAUAAUAGCUUUAACGUUUAGCAUCAUUGUCUUUCUUUAGUUUUUGAAAAAUAAUAAUUGUGUAUAAUUUAAUAUAUUAGAGAAAAGGAUUUUUUUUGUUGUUGUUAUAGGAACAAUGCUACUUUACUAUCGAUAUUAUCACGCGCUUGGCACUAUCAAAUUUUCAGUCGUUGGAUGAAAAAAUAUACGGUUAGAAUGAUAGUGAUCUUUUAAGAUUGAGCAGGUGGUUGGUUGAAUAAUACAAUCUAACGGAUGGAGAUGAUCAAAGGGUAGAUCUAACGGCAGAAAAUUCGAUAGUACAAAAAGAUUGAUACUAUCGAUAAUACAGCAGCCGAACUCGUUGUUAUAGUUAAUCAACUUAUAAUACAUUCCACUUAUAAGUGAAAGAUUAUGACUUAUAUUUUUUAUAAAAAAAAAUAGGAACUAAAAUUUUAUUGGGGGACAGGUUGUUUGAGGAGGCGAAUUUACGAAAAUGCCCCUAUUACUGUUAAGUUAUUAAAUGGCCGAGAGUGUUGAUAAGGGAGGGUUUCAAAAGAAGCAAAAUACGGCGAGGAAAGGAGGUAGGGUGUUUGCUUGUUUCCGUGCACCGGAUCCUCUACACCCCUGGAUGUUCAAAAUUAGUACAACCCGAUGAUUUUUAUUUUUGUGAAAAAACUUCAAAUACCACAUGUGGUUUCACACUUUCUCACUUUAAUACUAUGUGGUUUAAAGUGUAUUAAUUUAGUAUCAUGUGGUUUCAUUUUUAUAUAUAUAUUUUUUUAUCGAUUUCACUAAUUUUUUUUCGUUAAAUCAGUGACAAAGUUAAAAUUAAAUAGUACUAAAGUGUAUAUUCGAUAAAUUUAGAUGGGAUAUCUGAAGUUUUUUGUAUAUAAUUUAACAAAAUAUUAAAGAAGAAGCUGACGAAAAGAUAAAAAUGCAACCACAAGACACUAACUUGAUACACUUUAAAUUACAGCGUACUAAACUAAGAAAGUGUGAAACCACGUGGGUGGUAUUUAAAGUUUAUCCUAUCUUUUAUUCUUAUUUUUAUUUUUCCUUCUGAGAGAGGAAUCUACUGUAAAUUUUAUAUAAAUAUUUAUUUGAAUAGUAUUUUCUGAAGAGAAAAUUUUUUUAUAUAUACUACCGAUAUAUUAGCAAAUACAGAUAGUUUUUUUAUAUAUACUAUCUAUUAUAAAGGCACUUUAAUUAUUAAAUUAGUUACAACAAUUUUUUUUAAUGAAGUAAAAUCAAAAUCAUGUAUCAUAUUGAAGCUCUUAUCAGAGGCUUAGCCACCGUUUGGUUGGGGAUUAAGGGGUGGAAUAACUCCUUAACCCCCAAUUUAUACCCAAACACCACUCUUUUGGGGUGGGGUUAGUAAACCCCACCCCAAACCGGGUUAGUGGGGUUUACUAACCCCACUCCCCCUCCCAACUUUAACCCCGCACGCAUUCCGAGCCCUCACCUUUUUCUUCUUUAUCAAUCAUUAACCCCACUCCCCCUCCCAACUUUAACCGAGCACGCAUCCCGAGCUCUCACAUUUUUCUUCUUUAUCAAUCAUUAUCUUCUUAUCCCACCUACUCCAACCAAACACUUUUUUUCAUUAUCCUAUACUAACUCCAACCUCCAACCAAACACAAAAAAAUUUUAACACCAUUUUAACUCUGAACUUAACCCUAUCCCUGGAAUAGCUACUUUUUCUUAACCCCGAACCAAACGGGGGCUUAGAGUUUUAUUCCUGCUUUUCAGUGCAAGAAAGGCUCCAAAAUUUUUUGUUUCUCAAAUAUUUUAUUGUAAGUUGCUGCUGCUAAAAGUAAAAGUAGAAACAAAAGCAAAAAUAGCGACCGUAUAUCUCAAAUAGUUUGUCGCCACGAACUAGAAUUGAAAGUAUUUGUAUAAAAAAAUUAUAAAAAUAAACGAUGCAUUCAAAUAUACUAUAGCAACUAGAUAUCUCAACUAGAUUUAUAGUUAUAUAAAUUGCGUAAAAUAUACUAUAUAAAUCUGUAAAGGUAAAUGGCAUAUUCAAAUUCUAAAGUUAAAGAGUCACUAAUUUGUUCAAAUUAAAUAAAUUAAAAGAUUAAAUAGUAAAAUUAAAAUAUUCCAAUAUUAAAUAGUCAAAUACAAAUAAAUAAUAAUUGAGGUAAAUUUUAUAUAUAUUUAUCUACAAUAAAUAAAUAUAAGAUAUAGGGAAAACUUCAAAAACCCCUAUGUGGUUUCACACUUUUUCAUUUUAGCACCAUGUGGUUUAAAGUGUAUUAAGUUAGUACCCUGUGGUUUCUCACUUUAUCACUUUAGUACCCUGUGGUUUAAAGUGUAUCAAGUUAGUACCAUAUGGUUUUGCACUUUAUCACUUUAGUACCCUGUGGUUUCACACUUUAUCACUUUAGUACUCUGUGAUUUAAAAAACCACAGGGUACUAACUUGAUACAAAAUUAAAACCACAGAAUACUAAAGUGAUAAAGUGCAAAACCACAGGGUACUAACUUGAUACACUUUAAACCACAGGGUACUAAAGUAAUAAAGUGAGAAAUCAUAAGGUACUAACUUGAUACAUUUUAAACCAUAGGAUAUUAAAGUGAAAAAAAUUGAAACCAUAAGGGAGGUUUUUGAAGUUUUUCCUAAGAUAUAUCUUAAGGAAGAAGACUAGAAAAGGGAAAAGUUGUGUGGGAAGGGAAACUGCUGUCUUCCUAACCCACUUAUUAGUUGGCAUGACAAGGCAGGCAUGGCAAAGGGAUUUGCUUCCAAGGUGAAUUUCCCAAACUACCCUUCCCCCAAAAUGUUAAUUACCAAGGCCAAGGAUGUUGUAUUGUUGUGCUAUGUUGAUAUAUAUAUAUUGAGUUGACCGAGAAUGCUAUCGAGAGCAAAUGGGCUCCGCUGUCACUUAUUUGUUUUUGAUGAUAGAGCCUCCAAAUCGACGAUCGGUAUCGUUGAACAUGAUCUAUACCACUUGAAGCAUUUAGAAAUCAAAUUUCAUACUUUUCCGAUAUUUUUCUCUUGUCCAUCAAGUUGACACAAAAUGAAUGGCUAAAAAUAAUUUAUUUUAAACAAGUGGCGAUAAAAAUCUUACAAUCAGAAUCGAGAGUAUAGAUCUUGUUUUAAAUAGUUAAAAAAAAUUUCUAACCAAAAUUCAAUUGAUUUGGAUAUCUUUACACUGUUAAACGAAAAAAUGCCUCAUAUCGACUAUUAAAAUUAUAAAUUUUGAAACCUUUUCAUCAUUAGGUUAAUAUUGUCAAAAAGAUUUGAAAUUUGGUUUCUAGAUAUUUCAAGUGGUAUAGAUCAUGUUUAAUGGUGCCGAUCGUUGAUUUGAAGGCUCCAUCAUCGAAAACAAAUGGGUGGCAACGGAGCCCGUUUGCUACCGAUAGUAUUCUAGCUCAACUCACUCUCUCUCUCUCUCUCUCUCUCUCUCUCUCUCUCUCUCUAUAUAUAUAUAUAUAUAUAUAUAUAUAUAUANUACAAGUAUGUGAAUAAGAAAAAUAGUGUUUGGAUAAAAAUUGGAUUGUUCUCCGGGAUAAGAAUAAUUUAAAAUAGUUUUAUAACCGAGAACUACUAUUCUUGUUAUUGUUGUUGUUGUUGUUGUUGUUGUUUAUUAUCACUGUGGAGAGAGGAGGAACACCAAACUCAAACCUACUCCAACUAGACAAAAGGUCUCCUACUAAUGCUGCACAUUGAAAGAUAUUUUAGUGGAAUCACAGCAGUCAUAGUUUAAUUAAUACGGGUCACUUCAAUGUAAAGCAUGUGUCACCGCUAACGAAAUGCGACACCUUCAGAAUUUAAAAUAUUUCUGUAUGUAGAAUUGGGCUGAAAUACUAUUAAUAGUAUUUGACCCUUUUAACUAUCAAAUUUUCAACUCUUAAAUAAAAAAUUGUAAGGUUAGAAUGAUAUUAGUUCCUUAGAAUUGAGUGGUCCCCCUAGGGUUGAGUGGUUUUCACUGUGUUAUAAUAUUUAAUUCAAUAGUUAGAAAUGAUCAAAGAAAUUGAUCCAAAGGCUAAAAACUUGAUAGCAAAAUGAGCCAAAUACAAUUAAUAGUAUUCUAGCCCAACUCCUAUAUGUAAAAUUUAUUAGAGCUAAAUCUUUUAACUAGAUGAUAGAAUUUUGUGCAGUGCCUAGGUCCAAGAGGUUAUGAGAGUUGAGUGAGACUAGUUUACAGUAAAUUUAGGAUAGAUGACCCUUUUUGGCAAACACUAGUUGGAAGUGCGAGAUCAGUUUUUAGCUGAGUCAAAAUUAUUCAGUGAGUAAGAGCGCGACCCUCUCGUUGACGGCCGUUGUGGGUGAAGCACAACUCUCCAUAAUAUCGGCAAGUCUAGCUAGAUAAUUCUUAUAUCACCUUAUACUUAUGAGUGUGUUUUAGUCUGGUGAAAAUGUCAGAAUUUAAUGGAGAAGGGGGGAGGAGAAAUGUGACACCUUCUAAGAUAUGGAAUAAUUCUAUAUAAAGGUUUAAUAAUACUAAAUUUCUUAACCUAAUCUUAGCAUGGUGGUGGUGGUUAAGUCUGAGAGGUUAAGAGAGUUGAGCAAUCUAAAAUAAAUUUAAGAUCUGUAACGCUUUCGAAAAGCGCAGCGUUUUACAAAAAUAAGCAAAAUAUUUUUCAAUCACACUUUUUACUGAAAACAAAUGAGUACAAAAGAGCCUAUACUCAUAAGAGUAUAGUAGCCGGACUCUAUAUAUAUAUAUAUAUAUAUAUAUAUAUAUAUAUAUAUAUAGAGUCCGGCUACUAUACUCUUAUGAGUAUAGGCUCUUUUGUACUCAUUUGUUUUCAGUAAAAAGUGUGAUUGAAAAAUAUUUUGCUUAUUUUUGUAAAACGCUGCGCUUUUCGAAAGCGUUACAGAUCUUAAAUUUAUUUUAGAUUGCUCAACUCUCUUAACCUCUCAGACUUAACCACCACCACCAUGCUAAGAUUAGGUUAAGAAAUUUAGUAUUAUUAAACCUUUAUAUAGAAUUAUUCCAUAUCUUAGAAGGUGUCACAUUUCUCCUCCCCCCUUCUCCAUUAAAUUCUGACAUUUUCACCAGACUAAAACACACUCAUAAGUAUAAGGUGAUAUAAGAAUUAUCUAGCUAGACUUGCCGAUAUUAUGGAGAGUUGUGCUUCACCCACAACGGCCGUCAACGAGAGGGUCGCGCUCUUACUCACUGAAUAAUUUUGACUCAGCUAAAAACUGAUCUCGCACUUCCAACUAGUGUUUGCCAAAAAGGGUCAUCUAUCCUAAAUUUACUGUAAACUAGUCUCACUCAACUCUCAUAACCUCUUGGACCUAGGCACUGCACAAAAUUCUAUCAUCUAGUUAAAAGAUUUAGCUCUAAUAAAUUUUACAUAUAGGAGUUGGGCUAGAAUACUAUUAAUUGUAUUUGGCUCAUUUUGCUAUCAAGUUUUUAGCCUUUGGAUCAAUUUCUUUGAUCAUUUCUAACUAUUGAAUUAAAUAUUAUAACACAGUGAAAACCACUCAACCCUAGGGGGACCACUCAAUUCUAAGGAACUAAUAUCAUUCUAACCUUACAAUUUUUUAUUUAAGAGUUGAAAAUUUGAUAGUUAAAAGGGUCAAAUACUAUUAAUAGUAUUUCAGCCCAAUUCUACAUACAGAAAUAUUUUAAAUUCUGAAGGUGUCGCAUUUCGUUAGCGGUGACACAUGCUUUACAUUGAAGUGACCCGUAUUAAUUAAACUAUGACUGCUGUGAUUCCACUAAAAUAUCUUUCAAUGUGCAGCAUUAGUAGGAGACCUUUUGUCUAGUUGGAGUAGGUUUGAGUUUGGUGUUCCUCCUCUCUCCACAGUGAUAAUAAACAACAACAACAACAACAACAACAAUAACAAGAAUAGUAGUUCUCGGUUAUAAAACUAUUUUAAAUUAUUCUUAUCCCGGAGAACAAUCCAAUUUUUAUCCAAACACUAUUUUUCUUAUUCACAUACUUGUAUUUAUUCCUGUAAUAACUAGUUCUUGCUUAUAUCCGAACCAAACGGAAAGAGUACAAUAUAUUCCCCUGAAAAAAGUAGUGGUGUGUGUGAGUGGGAAAGGGGAAGGUGCAUGCUGAACCCUGACCAACAGUUGGCAGGACAACUCAGGCAUGCAGCUAGUGGUCCUCUCCAGGAUAUGUAUGGAGGAAAUGUUGUGUCCAAAACGUACUUUGUCCCUUGUAGGUCAAAUAAUUGCCCAAAAUAUUAAAAUUUUAUUUGAGUGGAUAAAUAUUUUCUUAGUUAUAUAUUAUUUUUUCACAGAUUAAUUAUAUAUAAUUUUUUGUAAAUAUAUCGAAUAAUAAAUAUAUUCUUACAAAAUUUAAUUUUUCAGCUUUAUUUUUGUAAACAUUUAGUGAUAUUCAUAUUUGCUCCUUUAGUUUGUUAUCGUUAGAGCACUGUUUAUUUUUUAACAACAGUUAAAUGAAAUGAUAUUUUUGUCUUUACAAAGAUACCCCUCCAGAAGCCCUAUCUGUUAGAAUUAUACCGAAAUGCUCUCCCAAAAAAAUAUUUUACUCAAUAAUAUAAGAGGAAUAAAAAAGUUAAUUAAACUCAUUUACUAAUCGGGCUUAAGUAUUUCACUCAUUGUUAGUUAUAUUUUUCUAACGGAUCCUAACAAUAGGAGUAUAUUUGAAAAUAGUAGGAGAGAAUUUACUUGUGCGGUUAUAAAUAAGACGUUUGUUUCUUCAAAAAGUUUGCUAUUCAUGAUUUGAUAGAAUAGAAUAAUAUAAAUAUUUUAUCUAAAAUAUAAUUCUUUUUAUUUUGAAAAAUGUAAUUUGAAGUUCAGAUAUAAUAUUAUAUUCUAAAUAUUUAAUCACACUUCUGAUCAAUUAAAUAUAUACUAUUUUAAAUAAAUUUUAAAAAUAUAUCUGAAUAAAAUUUUUAUAUAUUUCAUUUCCUAGUGUUUUUUUUAAGAGAAAACUUCAAAUACCAUUGCUGUGGUUUCGCACUUUUUCACUUUAAUACCCUAUGGUUUAAAGUGUAUUUAUUUAAUAUCAUGUGGUUUGGCACUUUCUCACUUUAGUACCCUGUGGUUUAAAGUGCAUCAAUUUAGUACUCGGUGGUUUCAUUUUCCUCUUCUCGUUGGCUCCUCUGCUAAUAUUUUGUUAAAUUAUAUACAAAAAAUUUCAAAUAUCCUACCUAAUUUUAUCGAAUAUUUACUUUAGUACCCUUUAGUUUUAACUUCGUCACUGAUUUUUUUUUCCUCCGUUAAUAUUUCGUUAAAUUAUAUACAAAAAAACUUCAUAUACUCUAUCUAGGCUUAUCGAAUAUUCACUUUAGUAUCUUUUAAUUUUAACAUUGUCACUGAUUUAACGAAAAAAAUUAGUGCAAUUGAUAAUAAAAAGAGAAAAAUGAAACCACCUGUUACUAACUUGAUACACUUUAAACUAUAGAGUACUAAAGUGAGAAAAUGAGAAAUCACAGGGGCUAACUUGAUAUAUUUUAAACUAUAAGGUAUUAAAGUGAAAAAUAUGUUUUUACCAUGAACUUGAAAAAAAGAAGUAUCUUGAAAUUUUGAAGGAAAAAGCAUCACGAAAGUUCUAGUGACCAGGGUAGUGUAAAAAAAAAAUGAUACAACUACCAGGGACACGUGGCAGGUAAUGGCCACCUGUGUAUAAAUAUAUAUAGACUUAUAUAUUUAUUAUUAUUAUAUUAUAUUAUAUAUAUUGUAGAUUCUUGGACCUUUAUCCAAAACUCGAUUUAUUUCUAAAUUAGUUAUUUGUUUCUUUUUAUAUAUAUAUUCAUAGUAAUAUAUAUAUAUCUAUUAUAUAAUAUAUAUAGUAAACGUUAUAGAAAUUUUGACACAUGACAGACGGAAACUUCAAAAGGAAUAAAAAAUAUUCCCUAUAUGUUCUAGGAAUUAGCGUCACAACGGCGUUUGAUCGAGCUUAAUUAAAAAAAUCGUCAAAUAAGACACGAACGCCGUUUUGCUUAAGAAAAUUUAGCUUCUUAUUGUAUCUAUAAAAAGAAAUCCAAAAAAAGAUAAAAAAUUAUUCCCAUGAGUAUUUUUUUACGGCUACUGUAAUUAAAAUAGAUCUUUAAAUAAGAACGAUCGCUGGUUGGUGCUGAGCUCGUGGCCCAGGCCACGGUUGAUGAUUAAUCUGGUUAAAAAAUAUGCAUCUUAUCAAAAAAUUUUAACUUAUAGUGGAUAAAAAUUAAAUUUUAAAGUUUUUGAAAUGAAUAUGAAAUUUAAAUUUUUGCUGCUUUUUUUUAAACUAUUUAUAUUUAAUAUUUAGCCACAUCAUCAGAUAAUUAAAAAAUAUAAUAUUAAUAUAUGGUUAAGAAAAAUAUAGGAAUAUUACAAAUAUUUUUCUAAUCAUAAAAGUAUAACUAUAGAAUUAUGUAAUCCUUAUGACAUAUAGUUUUAAAUAAAUACAUUAAUGGUGCAAAGUUCUAUAUGUGCAUUUUGUAAACAUAAAUUGAAACAUAAUCUGGCUUACGUGCGAUAUGCACGUACACUCAGCUUGAGUAUAUCCAUAUACAUAGUAUAUAUAGAGUAGUAUAUUUAUUAGUAUAUAUAGGUAUAUGAUAUAGUCAUAUAUAUAUUGAUAAUAUAUUAUUAUAUCAUAAUUUAUUCUAUAUUAGACGAAAAGAUAUAAAAUUUUCUUAUAUAAAUGUUUAUUUUUUAUUUCCUUUAUGAUUUUUAAAAAUUUAUAUUUAUCAUUUUAAAAUUUUACAAAUAUUUUUAGAAAGGUACGAUAUUAAUGAAGAGUGCAAAAUAAUCAAAUUGCUAUUUUUCUAUAAGAAAAAAAUAAUUUUUUAUCAUAUAUUUUUUCGGUAUAAGUUAUAAAAAAUGGACGGAAUAGUGAUGGAACCUGACGAAGAAGGGCAAAUUACAACAAUUUGAAAUAUUGAAGGGGUAAAAUAUAAAUUUUUGAAAGUUAAAAAAAAAAGUAAAAUAAUAGAUAUUUGUAAGGAGAUUUUCUGUAUUUUAUUUUUUUCUUUAGCAUUGGAAUUUUCUUGGUAAAUAAACAAAAAAUUUAUAUACGUAUUUACCAAACAAAUAUAAAUACGUACUUUUAUAUAUAGUAUCGACUAGAGAGGUAUAUAGUUAGGGGUGGAACCUGGCUCGUGCCUAAAUAAGGCUUACCGGGUCGGGUCUCGUGUGGGCCGGGCUUCGGGUACCAAAUUUGUGAUUUUGGGCUGGGGCCAGGUUUGGAUACCGGUCGUUAACUCGUGCAUUGCACACGAAUAUUUUAAAAAUUUUAGUUUUUUUUAAAAAUAAAUUAAUUUUAAGAAAAAAUAUUAAACAUUAAAAUAAGAUUCAAUAAAAUUAUACAUUUGAUGAUUUUUUUUAAGGUUCUUUUUUUUUUUUCAUUAUUAUUAUGAAUGAUGAUUACAACUUUUGAUGUUAUGAGACUUGGAGAUUGAGAAUUGACCUAGUUUUUGUUGUCAUCAAACUUUAAUUUUAAACUAAUUUUCUUUUAUAUAUAUAUUUUUAUUUCAAUUUGAUACAAUAUAAUUAUAUAUGUGCCAUUUGAAGUGGGCCUAAACAAAGUCCGAUGGAUAUUAGGCCUUGGGCUCGGGUCGCGUAAACAUUUUCUAAAUUGUUCGGGUCAAAGCGGGGGAUGUUUAGCCCGAUAAGCUGGGUGGGUUUGGACAAAGGAUGGCCCAACCCGAACCCCGUCCGAUUCUAACCCUACGUCCGUGAGUCAAUUCGUGCUCAUCUUGAAAUGAGCUCGAAAUCAAUCGCCCUUUUAAUAAACGAGCCGAACACGAGGUAAGCUCGCUCACGUUCAGCUUGAUAUAACUCAUAUAUAUAUAUAUAUAUAUAUAUAUAUAUAUAUAGAGAGAGAGAGAGAGAGAGAGAGAGAGAGAGAGAGUAGGGCUACUAUACUCUUAUUAGUAUUGGGCCCUUCGUACUCAUAAGUUGUUUUCGAUGAUAGAGCUGUCGAAUCGAUGAUCCACUCCGUUAAUAUGAUCUAGAGUAUUUGAAACUUCUAAAAAAUAAAUUUCGUAAUUUUUCGAAAUCAUAAUAAAAUUCAUCAAGCGGGUAUAAAAUAAACGGUCAAAAUCAAACGACGUCCUCGAAAUGGAUGAUUGGAUCCUUCAAUUUAAGAUCGGAGCUAGUGAUCUUUAUUUAGGUAGUGAAUAGAAUUUUCUAUCAAAAAUUCAACUGAUUCUGAUUCUUUUACACCGUUAAACUAGCAAGUAUCCCAUAUCGACCGUUAAAAAUUGUCAAUUUUGUAACCUUUUGAUCGUAAGGUAAAUGAUGUCGAAAAAUUAUGAAAUUUGAUUUCUAAAAGUUUUAAAUGCUCGAGAUAAUGUUUAACGGUAUGGAUCGUCGAUUCGGAAGCUCUAUCAUCGAAAACGACUUAUGAGUACGAGAGCGAUCGUACUCAUAAGAGUAUAGUAGCCGGACUAUAUAUAUAUAUAUAUAUCGAAUUUAUCCGGUCAUCACAGUUUGUAAAUAUAUUUUUCUAUUACCGAAAUUUGGAUAACCAUGAGUUAAAAAAGUUAACUACAAUUAGCUAAGGGGUGACUUUUUUACCCAUUAUAUAUAUAAUUUAUAUUUCAGUGUUGAGUCUCGUUAUCUUUUUCACCCUCUUCUUUUCAUUCGUGGCGACGGCAAGAUCUACGCCAGCAGUGACAUCGAAGGUGAGGCUAUCGAUCGCAGAAAAAAUGAGGUAUGACGAGGAGAGAGAGAGAGAGAAAGCAUUUUAACUGGAUCAGCUACCAAUAAUAAAAACUUAUUAGGUUCAACCAGGGAUAUAAAAUAUUUAAGUCCAGUUAUUAUUACUAUAGUUUAUAGUCUUUUAUUAGGGUGUGGCAGACUUCUUCCGUUUACACUCUAACAUUCUCGUCAGCCUAAUCACACGUAGCUCAAGAUCAUUAGGCGACACUUUCGGCUGGUAAAUAGACUCUGACAUCAAAUAUAAUAAUCUGAUCUGCUAACAAUAAUAACUUGUUGGGCCCAAACCAUCUGUCCAAAAUAUUUAAGCCCGAUUAUUAUUACUGGAAUCUAUAGAGUCUCUUAUUAGGACGUCACAGAAAGAAAGAUAACUUUUUUACAUGGAUAAAUUUAUAAGGGCAAAAUAUAUAUUUUAUGCAUCUAUAGAUAAAAAACUAGCAGGGAAUUAAACGGCAGUGACAUAUAUGAAUGAACCAGAAUUUUUGGAGGAGUGUAAUUUACAAACUAGAGAAUUUUUUAUGGAAUAAAUCUGAUGAUUUAAGCUAGUUUGAUCAUAAUUUAUCUAUUAUUUGAUACUUUUAUGAAAAUCUGUACAAAAUCAAUUUAAUUUUUUUAGACUCCCAUGCAACACCAACUAUAUUCUUAGCCAAUCAAAUAACCCAUUAGAUCUAAGCCAAAAAAAGAAAAAAAGAAAAAAAGAAAAAAAAGCUUCAUAAUUCUUUACUAGAGCUAUCGAAGAUGACAAAAUGGUUAUUAUGCAUGGCGUAGGAAAUGAUUGCUUCUCCAAUUAUUGUAGAUGCGCUGGGGCAUAUUUGGAUCGCAAAGUACUUUAAUAAUAAGCAUAUGUUUGUUUGUCUAUAAAUAAUUUUAUUAUCGAUUAAUAUAACCUUGAGUUGAACUGAAGAUCAUAUACGUAAUAAAAAGUUAAUAACUUUGGAACCGUAAUUAUUUUACAUUAUUAUUAUUUAUGUUACUGGACAUGUUCAUAUUAAAAUAUAAGAGGAUAAUAGGGUAUAUCCCUGUUUAAUCAAAAAAAUAUAUAUAUAUAAGAGGAUGAAAAAGUUACAUCUAAUUUUUUGGUUAUAUCUGGUCUCCCAAAAUUUACUUUGGCACCUUUAUUUAACUUCAGCACCAUCCACGAAGAAGCUAACUACGGUAUUUUGUAACCCGACUUGCUAGUAAUUGUAACUCGUUGAGUCUAAACUACUGAUUCAGAAUACUUAAGUUCAGUCAUUAUUAUUGGGCAGUAUGAUAUCUUAUAUUCUUAAUCAGGAUUUCUAUUCUAUCUUAUAUUUUCAAUAAAGGACUCUUUUUCUAUCUAAUGUGGAAUUAUUGGGGUGUUUGGAAUGUUACAGACUUCUCCCGUUUAAACCCUAACAUCCUUGUCAGGUCCAAACCCAGUCACACUUAUAUAUUAGAAUUAUCGGGCGAUAUAAAAUUUUAGAGGUGGUUUCUGCAGGUUCGCGAAAUGACUCCCACCAAACUCAUGGGGUAGCAUUUUGUCUCGUAUAGUACCUAGUUCUCAUACUUCUGGCUGAUAAUCAUUUUUGAUAUCAACUGUAACAACUCGACUAGCUAGCAAUAAUAACUUGUUGGGUUUAAACUACCGGCGCAAAAUGUUCAAAAUGAUGUGUAGCAUUUUACAUUUCUAGGAAAAACUUCAAAUACCCCCUUGUGGUUUCACUUUUUCUCACUUUAGUACACUGUGAUUUAAAGUGUAUCAAGUUAGUACCCUGUGAUUUUGCACUUUUUCACUUUAGUACCCUGUGGUUUAAAGUGUAUCAAGUUAGUACUCUGUGGUUUCGCACUUUCUCACUUUAGUACCCUGUGAUUUUUAAAACCACAUGGUAUUAAUUUGAUACAAAAAUAAAACCACAGGGUACUAACUUGAUACAAAAAUAAAAUCACGGAGUACUAACUUGAUACACUUUAAACCACAGGGUACUAAAAUGAGAAAGUACGAAACCACAUAGUACUAACUUGAUACACUUUAAAUCAUAGGGUACUAAAAUAAAAAAGUACAAAACCACAGGGGGGUUUUUUGAAAUUUUCCUAUAUUUCUAAUAAGAACUCUUUUUUCAUCCUAUAUGAAACUAUUAAGAUGUUAUGCUGCAAACCAAAUAACGAAAAUGUGCUUUACAGCUGCAAACGUCUCUAUCCCUCCUUCAUUUUCGAUGAAACAAAUAUGCUCCAAUCGCGUUGCGAAGAAUAUAUCAUCGAAAAUGAAACAAUCAUGCUCCAAUUGCGUUGCGAAGAAUAUAUUAUUGAUCAAUUAUUAAUAAAUUUGUGUAGUAAUAUUUUUUUGGGAAUGCUUCUUGUUUUGUGAAUGAAAGCACUUAACUGAGCAUCCAUUUGGCUUUGGCACCUCAUGAUAUUUAUUUCUAACUUCUUGCUAUAGCAAAAAUUUUAGGAUAAACGUCAAAUACCACCACGUGGUUUUGUACUUUCUCACUUUAAUAUUUUGUGUUUUAAAGUGUAUCAAUUUAGUAUUCUAUAGUUUCAUUUUUUUUUCUUUUUUGUUAGAUUUUUUUUCGUUAAAUAAGUGACAGAGUUAAAACUAAAAGAUAUUAAAGUGAAUAUUCGAUAAACCUAGGCGAGGUAUGUGAAGUUUUUUGUAUAUAAUUUAACGAAAUAUUAACGGAGGAGGUGACAAAAAGAAAAGAAAAAAAUUAUAGGGUACUAAAUUGAUACACUUUAAAUCACAUGGUACUAAAUGAGAAAGUGCGAAACUAUAAGGGUGAUAUUUGAAGUUUAUCAAAAAUUUUAUAGCAGCGAUUUGCUAAACGUAAUGGGUGUAAAUUUUAACUGUUAUUGAAAAAGAUUGAUUUUGUAGGAAACAUGUGCAGAAAUAUAUAUUAACAUCCACACUCACAAAUUUAAAUUCGUUAAGUAUUAAAUAUUAAAUAUAAAGAUUGAACCUACGACCUUACAGAACGAAGAGUUCAAAAUUAAUUUUGAUACAAUAUUAUCCAAAAAAUCAAUCUUAUAGAAAAUGGAUCCAAAAAUAUAAAUUAACAUUUACAUAAGAGAAUAAAAAAAAUAGAUAUUUUAAAUUUUUAAAAUAUAUUUUAGCCCUUUUUUACUUUUUUUUCCCCUUUCCUUUGCUUCCAAAAGCAGGAUAAGUGACACCACCCUUUUCUUUCCUUCCAAAAGCAGGAUAUGUGAGACCAAAUUUUUUUUAAAUGGAAAGAGGCAAUUACUUAUAUAUUCCUGAAAAGUUUUCGACUUUCUAAUUUAUUCUUUUUAAAAAGUUAAUAUUAAAAAUAUUUUUUUUACGUUUCAAGUUAUUUUGAAUAUAUCCCCAGAGUUAAAUUUUGUUAGUCAACCGUUAGCAAUAGCCGUUAUCUCUGUAAAAUUACUAUUUUGCCCUUUCAAAUAUGCUCUUCUACCAUCAUCAAUUUUUUUUAUUUGUGCUUUCGGUCUUUUCAAAUAUACCCUUCUAUCAUUUACCAGUAAGCUAAGGACAAAAAAGGUAUUUUUUAAUUUUUUCAACUCCGAUAAACAUUUAACUUACGUUUAACCCAAGAUAACUUAAGGGGUGAUAACUGUGGGAGUAUUUUUGAACAACGAAAAACCAUAUGAGAGGUGUAUAUUGAAAAAAAAAAGAAAAAGGAAAGAAGUAAGGGUAAAUUAAAUAUUUUCGAAGUUUUUAGGGGUAUAUAGACAAUUAUUCCAGAUGGAAAAGUGGGACCAAAUGAAAUCUCUUUUUGGCUAAAUAAGAAUUAGGGAGCCCCUCUAUUCUACAACAAGGGAGGUAGCAUUUUGUUUUAUUUGGGUGAUAUUAAUUAUUAGUGUAAAUGUGGAUUGUGCUAAUGCAAUUAUAAUUGCACUUACAUAUGAUUUGAUCAUGGAGAGUUAGAUAGAUUCUAUUCUAAUUCUUUCACUACAUGACCCCUAGUCAUUCUAAACAUCAUCUAAUACAUCUCUAAUCACUCAUAUUGAAAUUAAUCGUUUUACAAUCGACUAUUUAUCGCAAAGUGAAUAGAAAAUAAAAACCUCGUGUUCUAUUUUGUCGCUUAUUUAAGCUAACUUGUUGGGCAACCUGUAGUGCGUUUUAAUUGUUAAAAUUUAUUUAUCGUGGGCUUGCAUAAUAUGGCGUGCGUAACUCAUAAUAAUUUUAUGUUUAAUAUUUUUUUGUUACUGUAAUAGAGUGCAGUAGAGCGGUGUAAUGAUCCGACUCGCUGGCAAUAAGAAAUCGUUUGACCCAAACCAUCGGCCUAAAAUGUUUAAGCUCAGUUAUUAUUCCUAGUCUAAUCAAAACUAUAUACCCCCACAUCUAACCAUAGCUAUCCGAUGUGAGAUUAUUGGGGUGUCACAUACUCCCCCCAUUUAGGCCCUGACGUCCUCGUCAGUUCUAAACACACACAGUCCAAAAUCACCAUACGAUGUGAGAUUUGCCUCGCUAGCCUUGUUAUUCCGACCCUGACUUAGUCUGUCAUUUGUCGAUCCUGGCUUAGUCUGUCAUUUUGACCCUGACUCAGCAAAGACUCACCUCACACCUUCGGCUGGUGAACUGGCUCUAAUACCAAAUAUAACAACCCAACCCACUAGCAAUAAUAACUCGUUGGCCUACACCACCAGUCAAAAAUGCUUAAACCCAGUUAUUAUUACUGGAGUGGAAUCCUCUUGUAAAUCUAAUGACAAUUCCAUUCCGAUCCGAUGUGGAACUAUUGGAGUGUCACAAGCGGAUUACAAAAAUUAGGCUAAACAGAUUCUGAGUUGAAAGUCUUACCUUUUCCGUUCUACAAAAAUGUUUACUCUAAAAUUUCAUUUUGAGCUAAAUAUCAAAUCAAACAAUGUAACUAAGCCAUUGAUCAAUCAAAUUCCAAUUAGGAAGUUUAAUUAUAGUUAAAAUUAACCAAAAAGAUUUAUAGCUUUUACCUUCUUUUUCCCCCUCUUAACUUUAUUAGCUUAUAUUAUUUGCAUAACAAAUAAAAGGGCAAAUAAAAGUACAAUUUCCUAACAAGUGGAUCAAGUACUGAACACAGCUCCUGUGUUUGGCUCAAAUUUAACAUGUCAUGUGACAUGUUGACACCUAACAAGGAAUGUACACAUAAUUCAUUUGAUGGUCCUCAAAUUGACAUGAACAGCUACCUAAAAUAGUAUCCAAAAGUUGUACACAUAUCUGUCUUUUUAAAAAAAAAAUAAAUAAAUUUUUAUUUUGAGGGAGAGAGAGAGAGAGAAAGGUGGUCAGCUAUGUACCUUCUUCGUUCAUUAAAAUCAACUGAAAAUAUAAAAUACUUAGACUUCGAACUUAGAAUCUCGAGUACCAACAGUUGAGCUUUAAGCCAACUUUAGGUCUGAUAGACGGAUGGAUUGGACAACCUGUGGGUGGGUCAUUGUAACCGUGGGUUAUGCGGGUGCGAGUAGAAUUUAUCCACAAAUUUUUGGGUUGCCAUCACUCUCAGUCUUACCCACUUGCAUUUAGGUCUGAUAUACGAAUGGGUUGGGCAAUCCAUAGACAGGUCAUUCUACCUGUGGAUUAUGCAGGUGCGAGUAGAAUUUAUCCACAAAUUUUUGGGUUGCCAUCAUUCUUAGUCUUACCCACUUGCAGGUGGGAGUAGGUAUACGAGUUAUCCACAAGGUAUCCUUUUUUUUUUUCGCUUCAUUUAUUUUAUUUACAAAUAAAUUUAGUUGGAAAUGUGAAUCAAUUAGGAUUCGAACUUGGGCCCUCGAGUACCAACUACGAAGCCCUUUGCCACUUGCCACAUGCUCUAGAGAUAGGUAUCUUUUUUUCUUUUUUUCUUUUUUUCUAUUCUUAUAUUUUUCAAACACAAAUAACAUAUAUAUUAUUUUUAAAUAAUCUAAAAAUAACUUAUUAUUUAAACAUCACAACAAAUAACGGGUAAUAAAGAAAAAAAAAUGACAGUAACAGAAGUUACUAUUAGGGUUUUAAGGACGGAUAAAAUAAAAAAAAAUAUUUAUUUUUAAUUUUUUAAUUUUUAUAUAUGCCGGUAUAUAUGGAUACCUAUGGUUGCUCAAAAUAUUCAUAAUUUAACUAGUAUCUAUUUAUUUUACCUAUAAUUUUUAGGAUGAAAAAAAAUUACUCUUCAUAUCCGUAAAUUUGUGGAUAACCCAGGAGUAUCCGUAGGUACGGACUGAGAUUCCAGGUCUAGUGCAAAAUACAUAUCAUUGUCACCCAUGGUUAGUUAGGGUUUGCAAUGGAGCCGUUUGAAUUAUAACUCGGCAACUCAAUCUAAAACCAAACCAACUUGUCAAAUCGGAUCCUAGAAGUCGAAUCCAAUAGCUUAUGGAGUUUGAUUUCAUAUAAGUUUUAUGAGUUUAAGUGGGAUUUGUAUUUGCAAACUUAGGCUUCGUUUAGGAUUGCGGAGAGAUUGCAUUACAUGCGGUGAGAAAGUACGAUGGAAACAUACCAUGUUUGUUUCCGUGUGUAAUAUUGAGUUUCGUGUAUCACGAUGAGUCGGUUAUUAUGUAUUUUCUGCAGUCCCAUCGGAGAACGUAGAAGCAUAUUCUUAUAUACUUUUACCCCAACUCUAUUUUAUCUAAUAGUGUCAGAUAGGUCUCAAUACCAAACUAAGUCUUAAAAUAUCUUAUGAAAGUCAAUUUCAACUCCUUAAUGGCUUUGACCUGAAACCAAUAUCUUAUGAAAGUCAAUUUCAACUCCUUAAUGGCUUUGACCUGAAACCAACUAGUUAUUGUCGAAUCGUUGGCAUGAACUAUUUUUUUUUUGAGAGAUAGGUAGCACGUUACCCGCUUCGUUUAUUUCAUUUAGAAAUAAACUUAACUAGAAUUGUGAAUUAAUUAGGAUUCGAACUUGGGUCUCGGGUACCAACCACCAAACCCUUUGCCACUUGCUCUAAGGACGGUCGGUCGUUGGCAUGAACCAUUAAACCUAAAAACUUGAGCUAUUAAAAAUACACAAUUAAUUCACUUAAAUCAUACAAACACAGCACUCACUAGUUUCUAUUGUGGCUUGGCCCAACCAAUCUCAUAUAUGCCACUUCGAAUAUGACUCAAUCCAACCCGAUUUCAUGUCAUUUCGAACGUAGCUCGGCCUAACCCAAUCUCCCACCACAGGCCAGAAUGCGACCCAUUUAA